rnacentral:pre_miRNA from 1 species
AGUGGGAUAGCUGGGUCAUAUGGUAGUUCCAUUCCUAGUUUUUUGAGGAAUCUCCAUACUGCUUUCCAGAAUGGUUGUACUAAUUUGCAAUCCUACUAACAAC